rnacentral:misc_RNA from 1 species
AGUAGCCAGUUGAGAAAGAGGCCAUAUAUCAGGCACAAAACGGAAAAUUAGAAAAUAAAGCAUGUUACCUAAGAAAGAGUUAUGCUAAGUGAUAACGACAACAAUGGAAGUGGAGUGAAUGCCGAAGUUGAAAAAUUAGAAAAAACGUCCAUCACAAAAGCAGCGUAUUAGAGCAAAGUGAAAAUUUGGUACUGUGGCUUAAACGGCCAAAGCGGAUUAGCAACACAAAACGCUUAACAAAAGCGACACAUUUACAUACACGUCCCUCUUAACGCAACGAUUGGAACGCUAUACAGGCGAUCAAGUCACGAAUCCGCCCACAACAACCUGCCACGCCCACUAUUCAAAUACAGUAGCCGCCGUAAAACAUUGUAAACACUAGUUCGGCCGCCGUCCACUGCAUAUGAUACAAAUCGUAAGCGAGAAAUUAAGAAAGUAAUCGUCCCACCGUUGCGGCGUACACACAUUUCUUGAGCGACAUCCCCCAUUCCGUCUAAUACACAUUAAACAUAAAUUCGUUUCGUCCCAAUACAUCAGCCAUUUGACAUUUAAUCCCCCAAGAUCCCCUCCAAAAAUAAACCACCCGUCCAUUACAAAACCACAGCACACAAACAUAAAACGGCUGCAGUAUGUCGGAAUUGGAUAAUGCCGUCACGGUCGGCAAAACUAACGAGGAAUUGCGUAUGGAAGUAGAGCGGCUAACUCGCGAAUUAGAUCAGGCGGCCAGUGAGCGAGCACAGUCAGCGCAGUAUGGUCUUUCGUUACUGGAAGAGAAAUCGGCGCUCGAACAAAAAUGUGAGGAACUGGAAACGUUGUACGACCACGCCAAGCACGAUUUAGAUAUAACACAAGAGGCACUUGCAAAAUUUCAAACUUCACAGAAGGUCACCACAAAAACUGGCAUCGAACAGGAGGAGUCACUGCUCAGCGAAACCGCAGAGCUCGAAACCAGUUUGAACAGUAAAAUAUUAGACUUGGAAAAUGAGACGAAACAGCUGCGUCACGAAUUGGAGCGAGUGCGAAACGAACGCGAUCGUAUGCUGCAAGAGAAUGCCGACAUUGGGCGCGACAAGUCGGAUAACGAGGCCGAGAAGUUGCGACUCAAGGCCGAGUUAAAGGACCUAAAGUUUCGCGAGACACGCAUGCUAACGGAAUACACAGAGCUGGAAGAAGAAAACAUAUCGCUGCAAAAACAGGUGUCAAGCUUGAGGAGUUCGCAGGUGGAAUUUGAAGGUGCCAAACACGAGAUACGUCGCCUCACCGAGGAGGUGGAACUUUUAAACUCACAAGUCGAUGAAUUGGCUAAUCUAAAAAAGAUAGCAGAAAAACAAAUGGAAGAAGCCUUGGAGGCUUUGCAGUGCGAACGUGAGGCAAAGUAUGCUCUCAAGAAAGAAUUGGAUAGCCAUUUGAAUCGUGAGUCCAUGUACAAGAUAAGCAAUCUAGCAUAUCUGCGUAGCAAUAUGGACGACAAUAUCAGCGCAAAUAGCGAUGGUGAAGAGGAAAAUUUGGCUUUGAAACGACUUGAAGCCGAUUUGACCACAGAGUUGAAUGCAACAGACGGCACAAAAUGUGAUUUAUUCUCUGAAGUGCAUCUCAAUGAGCUGAAGAAAUUGGAAAAACAAUUGGAGUCCAUUGAAAACGAGAAAAUUCUACUCACAGCGAAUUUACGAGAGGCACAAACCAGUUUGGAUAAAUCACAAAAUGAAAUACAAAAUUUCAUGGCUCGUCUGGCGCUCCUCACCGCACAUGUGGAUGCUCUACUACAGCUGAAGAAACAGCUGGAUAUCAAAGACGAUUCCAUAGAAGCGGUGAAGCGGCGCAACGACGAGCAAAAUGUACGACAACAACUGUUGGACAUACUAUCCCAGUAUAACAGUUGGUUCACACUCUCUUCGAAGGAGAUUGACGGUCUCAAGACUGAUUUGGUUGAGCUACAGAAGGGUUUCAACUACACCGACGCAAUGACCACUCUCCGCAAUGAAGUCACAAAUUUGAAAAAUAAAUUGCUCGCAACUGAGCAAAAAUCAAUUGAUCUACAAAGUGAUGUGCAGACACUCACAAGUAUUUCACAAAAUGCCGGACAAAGUUUGGGUUCGGCUCGCUCCACUCUGGUGGCCUUAAGCGAUGAUUUGGCGCAGCUGUAUCAUCUCGUUUGCACCGUCAACGGCGAGAUACCAACACGUAUAAUGCUCGAUCCCAAGAGUGAUGACAUGAGUUUCGAAAACGAUUCGCUUACUGCCAUACAGUCACAAUUCAAAUCCGAUAUUUUCGCUUCCCGCUCCCACACAAUUGAAGAUUUGCAAGGGCUUGCAGAUUCUGUAGAAAUUAAAAAGUAUGUAGACACAGUAAGUGAUCAAAUUAAACAUUUGAAAACCGCUGUCGAGCACACCAUUGAGCACAACAAAAACAAAGUGCGCGGAGAUGUUUCCGAAGCUGACAAAUAUAACCGCGAAGAGGUCGAAGAGUUGCAAGAACAAAUUGUACGUCUCAAAGGCCUGUUAUCACUCAAACGUGACCAAAUCGCUACAUUGCGUACUGUAUUGAAAUCAAAUAAGCAGACCGCCGAAGUGGCACUCACAAAUCUCAAAUCGAAAUAUGAGAAUGAGAAGACAGUGGUCAGCGAGACAAUGGCCAAGUUGCGCAAUGAACUGAAGAUACUUAAAGAAGAUGCGGCAACAUUCUCAAGCUUACGCGCCAUGUUUGCUGCGCGCUGCGAGGAAUACGUUACACAGGUAGAUGACCUGAAUCGCAAAUUAGAAGCCGCUGAGGAGGAAAAGAAAACAUUGAAUCAGCUACUUCGUUUGGCCGUCCAACAGAAAAUUGAAUUGACUCAACGUAUGGAGGAAAUGGAAAUCGAUCGCGAAACGCGCUUUGCACGUCGGUCGAUGCCACCACAACGCGGCAGCAGCGGCAAAUCGUUUUCGUCACGGCCCUCAACACGUAACCCGACUGGCAGCAAUCAGAAUCAAUUCUAACAUAAAAUAAGCGUGCAGCGUAAACUUUUAGCCUUAGUUUAUACAUUGCUUAAGUUAUAAAGUCAUUUUUAUGUAAACUGUAACACUGUCACGUGUCACUUCAAAAGCGAAAAGAUAUUGGUACGAUGAUUGAACAAUUGUAAGCAUCAGAAGAACAAGGGACAGCAAUUCUUUCGCCGAAAGCAGCUGUAAUCAUCGUACGAAAAACAUUUACUUCCGCCCUUAAACUAAAGACACUGCACACAAAAGCAUAAAAAUGACUGUAGUCAAUAUAACUUGAUUUUAUAAUUCAUUAAUAAUUCUAAUAUUUAUGUUCUAAGGACCAUAUUUAUGAAUAAUAUCAACAUUAAGUUAGAUAUAUAUAUAAGUGAAAACUGACGGAUGCUGUGGAAGCUUAAAAUAAGUGAAUAAUCGUGCAGAAUGAUGCCAACUUUACUCCCUCGGAGGGGAUAAAGUACGCCCAAAGCAAACCAAGGCAGCCGUCAGGAUUAACUUAUACUUACCUAAAAUAUACUGAGUAUUAAAUUAUUUGUUUUGCACACAGCUACCUAUGUUUGGCUGCCUUAUGUUUAGUUUGGAACAAAUGAGCGUAAUUGGGGAAAUUAAAUGAGUGCGUCAAAUUUGAAUGAUUGAGCACCAGCAAAGUAGUGGCGUUGAGUCGAUAUUAUUUUCUCUAAUAGUAAUUAGAUGAGAUUUUCAGCGACUUUUAAAUGCCCUGAAAUUUUCAAACUAAGUUUAACCCUGCAAGAUUGAACGUUUGAAUCAAGGUAAACUGAAAUACUGAGCGUCUUCUCUGUAUUGCGAUUUGAAACUCAAUGCGUUUCGAAAGCAGACACAGACCAAUACAAAUUCAUAGUGCCGAGUACUCGAAUCCGAAUGAUUUGCUUUUCAAAUGGCUAUUCAAAGCAGACCCCCUGGAUAUUUAAAAUACUACACAAAAUUGUUUAGCACCUACAUACAUAUGUCUUGUAUACUCCCGACAAUUGCAUUCAAGUGAAAACCAAAAAAAUAAGUGUUCUACUUAUUGAAAACAUAUUGAGCAAUCUUAAAGAUUUUAACAAUCCUGCAAAAUUUUUAAACCGCACAUAAGAAAAGAUAACUGCAAAAAUAAAUCCCAAUAUUCGUGCUCAUUUGCUCCAAAAAAUAUAAUCUUAAUGUGUGUAAUUUUCUGUUUUUUCCUGUUUUUUUUUCUACUUACACAUAGCAAUUAUGUCUAACAUUUUUGCUACACGUGGACUUGUAUAUCAAGCGUAACUGAAAGUAUUGUUUAAAAUGGUUUGUUACUUACAUUUUCUUAUCUAUAAAUUUGAAUAUUUCUAAGAACUUUUUCUAAUACAUACAUACAUACAUUAAUUUAUAACUACAAGUAUAAGUUGCCCUAUAUUUCCGAAUGCAGCUAAUACAUACUACAUAAUAAACAGGCCACUUUUGUAGUGCACUUUAUAUUUUUAGAAUAAAAAUUAAUCUGUUUUCGAAAACAGCUGUACGCUCGAGAACGCACGAAUGCAUCUCAACUUUUUAUAUUUUCAAAAUUUAAUUAAUGCACAAUGAAAUUAGCAAAAUACAAACAAUCUUGAGUUAGAAACAUUGCAAAUGCACCAUCAGUAGUUGAGUAUAAAGCGAUAACUUACAUUUUUCUAUGACUAAGCCAUUGAGGAAUGAAAACAUUCAAUGCGCGCUUAUGAUCAGCAUGCAAUGUGUUAAGUGGCAGCUAUAGAAUUUAAUUAUUGCUUUCUAAGAAUUUGAAUUGAUUGCAAUUUUCUUUCUAAUUUAUAAAUAUUCAAAUGGCAUUCAGUUAAUACUUUGCAAGCUGUGAAGCGCACUGCAACAGUUGAAUAUGUUGGAUCACCGCAUAAAGGUGCUUAAAUUAGCAAUUUUAACUAAGCCUGCAUACAUAAAUGCACAUACAUAUACUCGUACAUAUAGUUAGCCAAAAACCACACAUCACAACUGCGAGCUAUAGAACGCUUGGAAAUUUGUAGUAGUAUUGCACAACGUCCUCUGCAGACACGCGCACACGCUUGGCUUGGCGCAAGUGCAGCUGUAUUCCUAGUUAAAAGUAAUAUGUAAUAAUAUUAAUAAUUUAAAUAAGUAAUUUAUAUAUAUAUAACUAUGCUAAAGAUAUUAUUUAAUAAUACUUGCAAAAAUAAAACCUUUAUUGUAGGCAAUAUGUUGUAUAAAUAAUCAAAUUAAAGUAGUUACAAAAAAAAUACUAAAAAACCAAAUAAAAACCUACAAAAAACUAA